UGGUUGAUCCUGCCAGAGGCGACCGCUAUUGGAGUUCGAUUAAGCCAUGCGAGUAGAAAGAAAUUAGAUUCUUUGCAUACUGCUCAGUAACACGUGGAUAACCUGCCCUACACUGGGGGAUAAUCUCGGGAAACUGAGCAUAAUACCCCAUAGACCACUACGCCUGGAACGGUGAGUGGUUCAAAGCUUCGGCGGUGUAGGAUGGGUCUGCGGCGUAUCAGGUCGUAGGGGGUGUAAUGGACCUCCUAGCCAUCGACGCGUACGGGUUGUGGGAGCAAUAGCCCGGAGACGGAUUCUGAGACACGAAUCCGGACCCUACGGGGUGCAGCAGGCGCGAAAACUUCACACUGCAGGAAACUGUGAUGAGGGAACUCCAAGUGACUGCACAAUGUGUAGCCUUUUCUUGAAUUUUAAUAGUUCUUGGAAUAAGGGCUGGGAAAGACCGGUGCCAGCCGCCGCGGUAAUACCGGCAGCUCGAGUGGUCGUCGCUUUUAUUGGGCCUAAAACGUCCGUAGCCUGUUUGGUAAAUCUGUGGGUAAAUCAACGAGCUUAACUCGUUGAAUUCUGCAGAGACUGCCAGACUAGGGACCGGGAGAGGUAUGAGG
rnacentral:rRNA from 1 species